AGCUAGGUAACAAGCUCUCCUCUUAAAGUAAGAAAAAAGAUUGACAGAAAAGUCGUGCGCAAUCGGAGGAAGCCCUGACUCCCAGGGUAGCUACCACAGCGCUGCAUAAAUGCGUGCAUCCUUGCAGAAGGAGGCGGCUCUCCUUUAGGAUAACACAAAGAUGUCACCCUACACUUUACGUUCACUUCGUGACAGUUUAGAUUAGAGUUCAAUCUGCUGAUGUAACUCCGUAUUAAAAAGCCACGGUAUCAUCGAUAGAGAACCAAACGUUAUUGCAACAGUGCCUGGAAGGUAGCAGUUUGAAGGUGUGAGUAUAUGAAGCAGUGAUGAUGAAUUUUGGAACGGUAAAAACGACGAUUCUGCUGCUUUGGGUGCCAGUUUCGCUGUGUGCAUUGAUUAGAGAAGAGAAACCUGUUCAAAGUGGCUACUACACCCAGGACCAGAAAGCCUUGGACUGUACUCUGCUUGAAGAUUGCACACCCAAAGAAAAUACCGAAAAUACUCAAAAAAUUGGACAAAGCGCGUUCGAAAGACUUUACUUGUUGAAGGCGAUUUGGGAGAAACGUCGUCAAAAUUUCUUUCUGGGUUUGAAUGCUAACAGCGAUUUCGAGGCGGAUGUUGGAAGCCCUGGUGAAUUUUUAUAUCAAAGUGUCAGAUUUGACCGGGGCACAACCUACAAGUCAAACAAGGGGAAGCGUUUCGUCUGCAACACAUUCGGUGGGUGUAGACUUCCAGCCGACGUGAUAACCAAGAGUAAGAAGUAAAGUCGGGUUACUGAUGAAAGAAGUAUCCAUGGUCAUUUAUGGAAUGUUUCUUUGACUGAAAGAAAAAAUGAACAUUUUUAAGUUUGGGAUCCAUAAUUCCUUUCAAAA